rnacentral:rRNA from 1 species
AUGGAACAGCUUAGGACAUUUCUAAUCGACCACACCAUGGCAUCAUCUUCUCCAUCUUCCACCGUGAUCCAGAUGCCUCCAAGUCCACACACCAACGGCGGGACAGCCGGCCUUGCCCCGGCCACGCCUAAGGACGCCGGCGACAUCCCGACCACCGCAUCCGCAACAGCUGCCGGGCCAGCAGCCAGCGCGACGGACAAGGUCAUGUCGAGCGCCGCGAACCUGGCGCAGCUGCUGCCGACGGGCACGGUGCUGGCGUACCAGGCGCUGUCCCCGUCCUUCACCAACCACGGCAAGUGCUUCUCCUCCAACCAGUGGCUCACCGCGGCGCUGGUCCUCGUCCUCACCAUCUCAUGCGUCCUCUUCUCCUUCACCGACAGCGUCCUCGGCCGCGACCAGAAGCUCUACUAUGGCAUCGCCACGCCACGUGGUUUCAACGUCUUCAACUUCUCGGACGAAGAGGAGAAGCUGCAGUGGACUCCCGCUGAGUUCCGGAGGCUUCGCAUCCGGCCGCUGGACUUCAUGCGCGCCGUCUUCACGGCCCUGGUGUUCCUCACCGUGGCUCUCAGCGACGUGGGGCUGCAGAACUGCUUCUUCCCCAACGCUGGCAUGAACACCCAGGAGCUUCUCAAGAACCUGCCAUUGGGCAUCGCGUUUCUGUCCAGUUUUGUGUUCAUGAUCUUCCCCACAAAAAGGAAGGGCAUCGGCUACAGCGACACUACUCCUCGCCAAAAGCUCACUUGA